rnacentral:rRNA from 1 species
GGUGCAUGGCAGACGGGUGAGUAACGCGUGGGGAAUCUACCUCUUUGUGGGGAAUAACGCUCCGAAAGGAGUGGUAAUACCGCAUGAGAUCCAUGGCUGGGAUGCUGUGGAUGAAACCUGGGGACCGCAAGGCCUGGGGCAAGGAGAGGAUCCUGCGUCUGAUUAGCUAGUUGGUGAGGUAAUGGCCCACCAAGGCGACAAUCAGUAGCCGGCCUGAGAGGGCGAUCGGCCACACUGGAACUGAGACACGGUCCAAACUCCUACGGGAGGCAGCAGUGGGGAAUUUUGCGCAAUGGGCGAAAGCCUGACGCACCAACGCCGCGUGGGUGAUGAAGGUCUUCGGAUCGUAAAACCCUGUCGUCGGGGACGAAGGUGGAGGGGUUAAUAGCCUCUUUGCUUGACGGUACCCGGAGAGGAAGCCCCGGCUAACUCUGUGCCAGCAGCCGCGGUAAUACAGAGGGGGCAAGCGUUAUUCGGAAUUAUUGGGCGUAAAGGGCGCGUAGGCGGCUUUUUAAGUGAGAUGUGUAAUCCCUGAGCUCAACUUGGGAACUGCAUCUCAUACUGGGAGGCUAGAGUACUGGAGAGGGUGGUAGAAUUCCACGUGUAGCGGUGAAAUGCGUAGAGAUGUGGAGGAAUACCAGUGGCGAAGGCGGCCACCUGGACAGUAACUGACGCUGAGGCGCGAAAGUGUGGGUAGCAAACAG